UUACUCUCUCUCUCUCUCUCUCUCUCUCUCUCUCUCUCUCUCUCUCUCUCUCUCUCUCUCUCUCUCUCUCGUCUUCUUCCUUCCUUCUUCAUCUUCAGUGCUCUCUCUCUCUCUCAUCAAAAUCAAAAUGAAACCCCCUGCCUUCUCCCUCUCGCCCCUGCCUUCUCAGGUAUGGAUUCAUGUUUGGAAGAGAAUUAACUCAGAAAGAGCUCGGCGAUGUGAUUGAAAGUCUUCACCAUGGAGAUCCAGAUCCAAGUCCUCCUCCGCCACAUUCUUGAUUCUAUCAAAACUUUGAGUCGUACGUCGAGAGCCUUUCACCAUGGUGAGCUUUCAGAUCUGGGUCCUGUUUAGUAGGAUCUUUACCAGUGAGGUUUCUUCUCAGGUGAAGGUUCGUAUGCUAUGGUGGAGAUUGGGGAUUUCUAGGGCUCCGAGAUUUGAUCUUCUCCAGUUUUGUUCGAAGCUUCUCCAGUUCCUAGGCGUCUCUCCCAUGCGUUUGAAUCGAUCGAUUCGUCUGUUUGUCUCUCCUGCAUUUGAGUGGAUCUAAACCUCAAAAAAAAAAAAAAAUAGAGAGAGAAGAAGAAC